AAAAGGUUGUCCUGCGACAGGCCCCAGCGAGGAUCGAACUCGCGACCCCUGGUUUACAAGACCAGUGCUCUAACCACUGAGCUAUGGAGCCUGUGCUGGUAUCGCCAGUCUUAAAACAGCUAUUUAUUACUACUCCUGAGGAACACGGAAGUGGUGAACGAAAGGAAAAAUAAGUCGGACGAUCUGAUUUCCUCGUGUCAGCAUUGUUCCCACAUCAUCAUAAUUAAUGUUCCAGGUUCAACAUUGCAAGUGACCAAUCACCUUCUUGUGACGUCAUUCCUUUGCGACUUCGAAAUACCCGCCUUCGAUUAUUUCGAAAUACAAGUGAAGAAGCGAAAAACCGCCGCCUGUCCGCCGAAUUUGAAGUCAAUUUAGGAUACUUUCUUUUAAUAAACGAAACUGUGACUCCUUCACAAUGUCAGAUUACCUUGUGGGAGUAGCUGGACCAAACUCUAUUGGUAUUUCAAGUUUGAAAUCCCUGUUUGACCAGACUAACAUUUCAGAUGAGGUAAUAGAUGGCCUAAUCUAUUUGCAGUGUGAGAAUUUCCCUCACAUUUAUCCAAUACCAAGUCAAAUCACUGGAAAAAUUUUGGAUGGGUCCACAAGAGCACAAAAUGCAUACUUUUUGAAGACAGACUCUUCUCAAAAUCCAACACAAUCUUAAACAUGAGCUGACUGAUUCCUCAACCUUCAGUUUGCUGACACACACCUUUGGCCCCGCUGCACUGGAUUCUGUCAUUUCAUUCCUGUGUGAAAAACUUGAUCUUGUCUCUUAAAUAAUGAAACCUUUUGUGACUUUUGUUUGUGCUGUAAAUCAGAAUCUUGAAAAUUGUUCAUUGUUGUUCUAAGUUUGUGUUAACUAUUUGGCAAAAAUGAUUGGUUCCUAAUCCAAACAGCAUAAUGACUGUUCUAACACAUAUCUUAAAAAUGCUACAAAGAAAGAAAAUUAUCACAUAUGUUUCAAUAUGAAUGUAAUUGUGUCACACUCGGUUUGUAGUAGCUUUCCUGUUUUAUUUUGAGUUUUGGUAUGUUUACACUGUUAUUUUUAUUUCCCGUGUGUUCGUCUUCCCUUAUUAGUUUUACUGUAUUUAAUUAGUCUGAUUUAAUAACUUAUAAUUAUUUACUUUCCAGUGUGUAUAUAUGCUCCUCGUUUGGAUUAUUGUUUGUUUGAGUUCUGCCUGUCUUUUCUAUUAAAGAUUUGGACUAUUAGUGGACCUCGUAGGUUUUUAUUCUGUUCAAUUGGUAAUUGACUGGGUUUAAUUUAGUGGCCUGGAAAACAGGCCGGAGGGGUCUGGUCAUUUUAACCCCCUAAGACCCGAAAUCUUCCAUGGCAUGCAUUUUUAAUUUCUCUUUGAUAUUUGGGCCGAUUGGAACCCGAUGAAUGUAAAAAGAAAGAAUUACCAGGUUUUGUUUUUUUUACCUAAUUUUUGUUUCUGAGAAAAAU
ensembl:lncRNA